rnacentral:antisense_RNA from 1 species
UUUUUGCAAGCGCAGAGGGUCAGUGUGACAGCUUUCUGUAUCUCAGCUCUUGUCUCACCUCCCAGAAGAAUCAGGUCACACAUGGACUUGAAGGAUGAUGGGCCUGAAUUGCAGGAAAACAAACUCAGGGAUCCCACUGAUUCUACAUUAUGAUAAAUACCUGGAGUGGGAUUGCUAGAUCACAUGGAAAACACAGAUCCUGGUGCCGAACAUGAGGACAAGACAGGCCGAAGGAGAAAGUGGAAGGAGGGGAUCUUCUCUCUCAGCCUCAUCCUCCUGGGCCUGGAUGCUGGAGAGUCAUGAGGUGCUUCAGAGUACUCUGGGUGAGGAGGGAAAGAUGGUGCCCACCACAUGGAGGCCAGCCUAGGUCUUGUAUGAAACCCGUGAGGGAGCAGGAGCCAGGCCGUGGCCUGCUGACUGCAUCUGCCAGAUGACUACAAAUGUGUGAGUAAACCCAUUCUCAAGACCAAGAGAACCUCUCAGCUGAACCAGGCCCAAGUUGCUCACCCACUGAACUGCCAGUUAAAUAAAUGGUGG